AAAUAAGUCAUCGUAAAGUGUGUCAAAAUAGUGAAGAAUUAAGUCAUAGAAAUGGUGAAACGGGUAAUAGUAUACCUUGUUGAAUUAAGUCAUAGUAUAGCUUUUUGACAUGGUCAAAAGGGCGUGUGAAAAGCGUCAUAGUAUAGCAUGUCAAAAAUAUGAAAAAGAAGACAUUGUAUAGUGUGUCGAAAAAGUGAAACAAUAUAUCAUAGAAUAGCAUGAUGAAUUAAGUCAUUGUAUAGCGUGUCGAAAUGGUAAAAAAGUCAUAUUAUAGUGUAUCAAAAUGAUGAAAAAGGACAUAGUAUAGCAUGUUGAAUGAAGCCAUAGUAUAGUGUGUCCAAAUGGUGAAAAAGGUCAUAGUAUAGUCUGUCGAAAUGGUGAAAAAGGGCUAUAGUAUAGCAUGUUGAAUGAAGCCAUAGUAUAGUGUGUCGAAAUGGUGAAAAAGGUCAUAGUAUAGUCUGUCGAAAUGGUGAAAAAGGGCUAUAGUAUAGCAUGUCGAAAACGUGAAACAAUAAAUCAUAGCAUAGCAUAUUGAAUUAAGUCAUGGUAUAGCAUGAUGAAUGAAGUCAUAGUAUAGUGUGUUGAAAUGGUGAAAAGGGCUAUAGUAUAGGAUGUCGAAAAAAGUGAAAAAAUAAAUCAUAGUAUAGCAUGUCAAAAUGGUGAAGAAUUAAGUAAUAGUAUAGCAUGUUGAAUGAAGCGUGUCGAAAUGGUGAAAAAUGUCAGAGUAUAGCAUGUUGAAUUAAGUCAUAGUAUAGCGUGUUGAAAUAGGUCAUAGUAUAGCGUGUCGAAAUGGUAAAAAAAAUGUCAUAUUAUAGCAUGUUGAAUGAAGUCAUAGUAUAGUGUAUCAAAAUGGUGGAAAAGGACAUAGUAUAGCAUGAUGAAUGGAGUCAUACUAUAGCAUGUCGAAAUGGUGAAUGAAGUCAUAGUAUAGCGUGUCAAAAUGGUGAAGAGGGUCAUAGUAUAGUGUGUCGAAAUGGUGAAAAAAGGUCAUAGUAUAGCAUGUCAAAAAUAUGAAAAAGAAGAUAUAGUAUAGCAUGUCGGAAAAGUGAAACAAUAAAUCACUGUCUACCAUGUUGAAUUAAGUCAUUGUAUAGCAUGAUGGAAUGAAGUCAUAGUAUAGCGUGUCGAAAUGGUGAAGAGGGUCAUAGUAUAGCAUGUCGAAAAAGUGAAACAAUAAAUUACAGUAUACCAUGUUGAAUUAAGUCAUAGUAUAGUGUAUCAAAAUGGUGAAAAAGGACAUAGUAUAGUGUAUCAAAAUGAUGAAAAAGGACAUAGUAUAGCAUGUUGAAUGAAGCCAUAGUAUAGUGUGUCCAAAUGGUGAAAAAGGUCAUAGUAUAGUCUGUCGAAAUGGUGAAAAAGGGCUAUAGUAUAGCAUGUUGAAUGAAGCCAUAGUAUAGUGUGUCGAAAUGGUGAAUAAGGUCAUAGUAUAGUCUGUCUGAAAUGGUGAAAUAGGGCUAUAUUAUAGCAUGUCGAAAAACGUGAAACAAUAAAUCAUAGCAUAGCAUAUUGAAUUAAGUCAUGGUACAGCAUGAUGAAUGAAGUCAUACUAUAGUGUGUUGAAAUGGUGAAAAGGGCUAUAGUAUAGGAUGUCGAAAAAAGUGAAAAAAUAAAUCAUAUAGCAUGUCAAAAAGGUGAAGAAUUAAGUAAUAGUAUAGCAUGUUGAAUGAAGUCAUAGUAUAGCAGGUUGAAUGAAGUCAUCGUAUAGCGUGUCGAAAUGGUUAAAAAGGUGAUAUUAUAGCAUGUUCAAUGAAGUCAUAGCAUAGUGUAUCAAAAUGGUGAAGAGGGUCAUAAUAUAGCAUGUUGAAUUAAGUCAUAGUGUAGCGUGUCAUAAAAGUGAAGAAUUAAGUAAUAGUGUUACAUAGUGUCGAAAUGGUGAAAGAGGUAAUAGUAUAGCAUGUCGAAAUUGUGAAAAAUAACUCAUAGUAUUGCAUGUUGAAUUAGGUCGUAGUAUAGCGUGUUGAAAUGGUGAAAUAAUAAAUAAUAAUUAAUAAUUCUUCCCUUGGGCCUGGAGCCGGCCUCCGAGGGAGCUCAGAACAACCUCCAAAAACAAGUGCAGGGCUCAUGUGGCCGUCCAUCCAGUGAAGGCCUCGC
ensembl:lncRNA